UACGGGGGGGGCAAGCGUUGUUCGGAAUUACUGGGCGUAAAGGGCUCGUAGGCGGCCAACUAAGGCAGACGUGAAAUCCCUCGGCUUAACCUGGGAACUGCGUCUGAUACUGGAUGGCUUGAGUUUGGGAGAGGGAUGCGGAAUUCCAGGUGUAGCGGUGAAAUGCGUAGAUAUCUGGAGGAACACCGGUGGCGAAUGCGGCAUCCUGGACCAACACUGACGCUGAGUGAGCGAAAGCCAGGGGAGCAAACGGG
rnacentral:rRNA from 1 species